AGGUCAGGAGGGGGGGGCGCGGCCGUCGCGGCUGCCUCAGCUGCUGCCUCAGCUGCUGUUGCCCCUGCCGACGCUGGAGCCGCGGCCCGGGGCCUCAUCCUACCCCGCCUUAGCGCGGCGGCGGCAGCCAGAACGAGGCCAGCCGGGCCUACGUCACGCCGCCGUGCGUGCUCCGACCCCGCCCCGGGCUCCGCGCGCCCCGCCCCCAGCGGGGCUGUGAGUUUAAGGUCCUGACUGGGUACCUGCCGGUCUCCUCCUCCGGCGCUUUGGCAUCCUGCCUGCCUCCCACUCGCGGCCGGAGGUUGCUCUCUCACCUGCGCAGCGUCUUCAGAGACUCUUCCCCCUGCCUGGCAGGUGAUGUUUCUACGACCGCAGCUCAAUGGAUCAGGCAGGCCCUAGGCCAGCACAACUGAUUUAUAAAACCUGGCUCGUGCCUGAGAAAGCCAGGUUCGUCUAGAACAACAAAUAAACCCCUCCCCUGAGGUUUGAAGGGAAGUCUAUCCAGUGAUGUCAUUUGAGCGAGCAAAGGUCAGAAAGGAUUUGAGAGAUACUACUGUGUUUAAUGGUACCAAAGCUGCUGUUUCUCCACCUAGCCUACCUCUUUUAUCUAACCAUAGAUCAGGAGUUGUGGCUUUUAGAGAGGCCUGUGGCUCAAGGAGGACCCUUGCCCAGGCUUUUGCUGCAGUGGAGGGAGAUGACUGAAAGACGCUGAUGCAAUUCUGGAAGCAUUGUGACAUCUCUGACUGCAUCCGGAACUUUGCCUGUGGCCGGGUGAUGUCACCGAGGUAUGAUUGCAUGGUAUCCAGAAUAAGACACUCAAGAGGUGCAUCCAGGACUACAGAGGACUCACUGAGGGUGAGGAGGCAGCAGUGUUUGUAAACUGUGGAUGAGGAUGACGCUGAGCUCCCAGGAGAGGUUCCUUAGCAACUGGCAUGGGAGUUGACGGGAACAGGAACACAACCACAUAUGGGAAGGGGAAAAGUGAAUGUCAGAAAAAGACAAGUCCCAAGAAAACUCAGAGAAGAGUUGAGAAGAAGCCUUGUAGACUUGAGUGAUCUCCUCAAGAGUCGCUUCAAAAUGAAGGCUGUGGAUGUAGCUUGGUGGUAAAACACUUGUCUAGUGUAUUUAAGGGUCUGUCUCCAGCCCUGCAGGAACAACAAAGUAAUAUGGACCCUGAUAUGGAAAGAUUUUCUCUUUUAUUGUUGAGAUUAUAAUUACAGCAAUUCUCACUUCCCCUGUCCCCGCCCAAGUCUUCCCAUAUGUCCCUUCUUUCUCUCUUCCUAAUUCAUGGCCUCUUUUUUCAUUAAUUGUAGUUACACACGUAUAUGUAUAUACACAUAUAUUUCUAAAUGUAACCUGCUCAGUUUGUAUCAUGUUAUUCAUGUAGGUUUGCAGGGGUGACCAUUAAUUGGUGUGCUCUUCCCCACUUUGCCCAUUCUCACCAUUCCUUAGUUGCUCGUAGCUCUUUGUGUAGGGUUGAGGACUCGUGGGCUCCCCAUACCACCCCAUACACUUUGGAAGGUCUGUUGUUGUCCUGGUUCAGCUCAUGUUUAGGCAGUCACGUUGGUGAUACUCUGAGUAUAGUGUCGGACAUUCCUAGGAGACACAGACUCACAGCAAAUUCCCUUAAACCCGUCUCUGACAGUCUUUCCCACCGCUCUUCUACAAUGCUCCCUGAGCCUUAGACGUGAGAGUAUAUCCAUUGGAACUGGGCUCUGUAACACUAUAAUUUGACUGGGCAAGGGCUUUGACUUACUCCUCUGUCUUCAGCCUUGCAAAUAAUGUCUAGCAUUGUUAUAACUAUAGAUAUUGUUAUGUAUGAACAAAACAAGAACAUCUUGGGAUGUGUUUAUUAAAUUUUACUAUGUUUUA